CUGGAAAAACAAGUGUGAUGAGAUCAAGUGAUUUACCCAAGACUCUGAAACAGUGACUAAAGAUUCUUGAGCACUGAGCUGGCCUGCACUUUGGCUGACUGCGGUAGCUGAUGACGUGUAAUCUUCGGAGCGCUUGGCAGCUGCCCCAGCCCUGCCUGCACCUGGGAGGCUUCUGCGUUCACGCACCUUCCAGCUGUGCGAGCUUUCAAACACCUUUGAAUGGGCAGAAGCGGGUCUGUCCCUGAAGGCAGCUUUCUUCGUUGGCYGUCCUGGUUAUCGUGUGGGAGACAAGAUCACCAUCAGAAUUCAGGUUGAAUGCUUCCUUGUGAUGGGGUGGCAGUUGCCCUCAGCAUCCCAGUGCGGGCUGCAUCUGUAGCACCACACUGCACUGUGCGCAUGCUGGGCUGGCUGGGGCGCCGCGGCAGCACAGUGCUCGGCUCUGGUCCGGAGCUCAGCCCUCUCGGCAGCACCAGUUCCUCAGCGCUCCUCAUGGCCUGGCAGCGCAUCUGCCGCAGACACCUUCUCAGAAAAGUAACAGUCCAAAAUUUGCCAUUCCAAUGAAACACUGGCUGAGAAGAACUGGAAAAGAAGUCCUGACUGGCUUUAUGCCACAAGCGCUGUACUCCAACUGACAUGCUCUCCUGGCGAACCUGGCAGCUGUUUGCUUCCUCAACCUUCCCAUCAGGAUUUUGGGCCCAAGUGGUGACUGAGGACAAGCUUUUUAAAAGCAAGUAAUGGAUUUAGUUGUUGAAGGUGAGCCACCUUGAAAACACCCGUCUUUCAGGGGCGU
rnacentral:lncRNA from 1 species